AUUGAACGCUGGCGGCAUGCUUUACACAUGCAAGUCGAACGGCAGCGCGGGCUUCGGCCUGGCGGCGAGUGGCGAACGGGUGAGUAAUACAUCGGAACGUGCCCAGUAGUGGGGGAUAGCUCGGCGAAAGCCGGAUUAAUACCGCAUACGACCUGAGGGUGAAAGCGGGGGAUCUUCGGACCUCGCGCUAUUGGACCGGCCGAUGGCAGAUUAGCUAGUUGGUGGGGUAAAGGCCUACCAAGGCGACGACCUGUAGCUGGUCUGAGAGGACGACCAGCCACACGGGGACUGAGACACGGCCCAGACUCCUACGGGAGGCAGCAGUGGGGAAUUUUGGACAAUGGGCGAAAGCCUGAUCCAGCAAUGCCGCGUGUGUGAUGAAGGCCUUCGGGUUGUAAAGCACUUUUGGCGGGAACGAAAAGGACUGUGCCAAUACCACGGUUCGAUGACGGUACCCGCAGAAUAAGCACCGGCUAACUACGUG
rnacentral:rRNA from 1 species